rnacentral:rRNA from 1 species
GACGAACCGUGCGAACGUUGUUCGGAAUCACUGGGCUUAAAGGGCGCGUAGGCGGGCGAGCAAGUUCGGGGUGAAAUCUUUCGGCUCAACCGGAAAAGGGCCUCGGAGACUGCUCGUCUGGAGGGAGGUAGGGGCAGGUGGAACUGCUGGUGGAGCGGUGAAAUGCGUUGAUAUCAGCAGGAACGCCGGUGGCGAAGCGACCUGCUGGACCUCUUCUGACGCUGAGGCGCGAAAGCUAGGGGAGCAAACGGGG